AGAGUUUGAUCCUGGCUCAGAUUGAACGCUGGCGGCAGGCUUAACACAUGCAAGUCGAGCGGUAACAGGGGGUGCUUGCACCCCGCUGACGAGCGGCGGACGGGUGAGUAAUGCUUAGGAAUCUGCCCAGUAGUGGGGGAUAGCCCGGGGAAACCCGGAUUAAUACCGCAUACGUCCUACGGGAGAAAGCAGGGGAUCUUCGGACCUUGCGCUACUGGAUGAGCCUAAGUCGGAUUAGCUAGUUGGUGGGGUAAAGGCCUACCAAGGCGACGAUCCGUAGCUGGUCUGAGAGGAUGAUCAGCCACAUCGGGACUGAGACACGGCCCGAACUCCUACGGGAGGCAGCAGUGGGGAAUAUUGGACAAUGGGGGCAACCCUGAUCCAGCCAUGCCGCGUGUGUGAAGAAGGCUUUCGGGUUGUAAAGCACUUUCAGCGAGGAGGAAGGCUCUGAAGUUAAUACCUUCAGGGAUGACGUACUCGCAGA
rnacentral:rRNA from 1 species